rnacentral:rRNA from 1 species
AUGUGUAUGAGCAGUGGGCCAAUUCAUCGAUGGGUCCACUGUGUGUUGGCUGGGUGCGGAGCUAAAGGGUGCCGUUGGUUGUUCCUCGGGGAGAGCCCAUUGGGCACAACGGCAGCCCUAGCCUCAGUCCACAGCCGCCAUGCCCUCACUCCUCCUCGCCGCCACACUCCCUUCCUCCUCCUCCUCCUCCUCCUCGCUGCCACACUCCCUCCCUCCUCCUACCUACUCACCAUAGCCUGCCAUAAGCGGCUCCCUCCUCACCAUGGCCCCGCCAUAGGCAGCUCAAGCGAUGGUGGAGCGGACGGCAGCCUCAGCGUGUGGGCGGCGGCGGCCCGUCUGGUGAACGAGCCCGCACCUCCCUGCCCUCCUCAUCACCCUUCCCUCCUCGGCUUAAUGGGAGGUUCGCGGGGCACCUCUCAGGCUGCUGCUGCCUCUUCCGCCCAGCAGGACGAGCACAAGGUGAGCACCGGCCAACCGCAGCCCUCCUCUGCCCUUGUUGCUAUUCCCUCGGUCAUUCCCUUCAGUAUUGAAGAAUUAUUGAUGGAAGGUGCAUUAGUUAGGCAUGCAUGUACACAUGAAUCUACGAUCCAGAUUCUAGCUACAUCCUUUACUACAACAAUCUCAGUCUAUACUGAAAAGUGUACUGCUUAUAUAGCUGAUAUCUUUAAUUCAUAUGGUCGUCCGCUGGAUGCUGACUGGUCUUUGGUUCAUAUGGGGUUCAUGGGCCAUCAUGAUGAUAUACUUAAUUCUUUAAACAAGAAUGAGAUGGAUUACAGUUACUUGACACGCACACCCACACCCGGGCGCAAGAAAAUAACAAAUGGAACUCCCAGACACCGCCAUCUCUGCAUCCACCUUGCUCCGCAUAGCAGCAUGUGUGUGGAAGCGGGGACAGGCGAUCAUGAGCAGAUGGCGUCGACGGCAAUGGAAACAUGCACGGAUGGUGUGUCCACCGGCUUGGAACGCGCCCGCCCGACGCACAGCAGGUAUGCCUCACAGCACGCCAGUGGCAACGUGCACCGCGGGGCCCGGAAGCAGCCCAGCCAGUACAGAGCCCCUCCGUAUAGGAGGAACCCUGCCACCGUCGGAGCCAGCAACGGUGACGCGUAUGAGAGCUCGGCCAUGGUGGCCCGCGCGCCGAAUAGGAGGAUCAUGUCCGCGCUAGAGGGCAGCAACGAGAACAUCAGUGGCACAAGGAAGUGUGCAGGAUCUGCACCAACAGGCAACCACAUGCAAAUUUUGAGGAGCGACAUGAGCAUCAAGCAAUGGCUGAUGCCAAGGGGUUAUAGCAACGAAAAUGCUCAACGUACAGGCAGUUUUCACAGAAUCACUCCUACGGGCGGACCUGCCCCUCCCUAA